rnacentral:rRNA from 1 species
GACGAACGCUGGCGGCGUGCCUAAUACAUGCAAGUCGAGCGAGCGGAACUAACAGAUUUUACUUCGGUAAUGACGUUAGGAAGCGAGCGGCGGAUGGGUGAGUAACACGUGGGGAACCUGCCCCAUAGUCUGGGAUACCACUUGGAAACAGGUGCUAAUACCGGAUAAGAAAGCAGAUCGCAUGAUCAACUUUUAAAAAGGCGCGUAAGCUGUCGCUAUGGGAUGGCCCCGCGGUGCAUUAGCUAGUUGUAAGUAAAGGCUUACCAAGGCGAUGAUGCAUAGCCGAGUUGAGAGAC